CGGGCCUUCGGGCUGGCUCGCCGUCGGCUGCCGGGGGGUUGGCCGGGGUGUCAUUGGCUCUGGGAAGCGGCAGCAGAGGCAGGGACCACUCGGGGUCUGGUGUCGGCACAGCCAUGGCGGGCGCGUUGGUGCGGAAAGCGGCGGACUAUGUCCGAAGCAAGGAUUUCCGGGACUACCUCAUGAGACAGGGUCUUGCUCUGUUGCCCAGGCUGGAGUACAGUGGUGUGAUCAUACCUCACUGCAGACUUGAACUCCUGGGCUCAAACAAUCCUCUGGAGGCACAAACCACCCAUGCCCAGCUAAUUUUUAAAAUAUAUUUGUGUAUAGAUGGGGUCUCACUAUGUUGCCCAGAUUAAUAGUGAAUUCCUGGCCUCAAGCAAUCCUCCUGCCUUAGCCUCCCAGAGUGCUGGGAUUACAGGCAUAAGCCACUGUCCCCGGCCUUCUUUUUAGUUUUCUUAAUGUGGCUUCUAGAAGUUGUAAAUUACGUACGUGGCUUGUAUUUCUGCCUUGCAUUAUAUUUCUAUUGGACAGUUCUGCUCUAAGGAUUGCACUUAUUUUCCAUAAAACUAAGAUCUAAUUUCAUGAAGUCAAAGUUCUUAUUAGAAAUAAUAUUACUUGAUCUUUUAAAAAUAAUAAAAGAAUGUACACUGUUAACGUUGUAGUCCUGUUACUGAAAUUUGAAUACAGGUGUGAGGUUGCAGUAACCUAAUAAGACCAAAAUCAUUUGAUUUUUGUUUCUUUUUUUUCCAUGUCUGUCCUGUCUGAACUUCGGUGACUCUUCACAAAAUAGUACGGUAAGAAAAUUAUUUCCAUCCAUUUCAGGCUUUUGCAGACUUUCUGCAUUAACAGAGUUAGGGGUAACAGGCUUAGCAUCCUUUGCAUAUGAGAGCCUUUCUAGCCGCCAUGGCUGGCAGGUUGUGAAGGGUGCCUACUGCACCCUGGCCUGUCCUGGGGAGCCUAGACACGAGCUCUGUGACAGCCAUGCUCCUGGGGCUGCUCCCUACUCCUGUUUUUAGAAACAAGCAUAUAAUUACUUCAUUGAUAACAGUCACAGUGGAGCCUAGCAACCGAUGAAAGGAAAUAGAGAAAGAAAAAGAGAAAGCAGGAAAAGAAGGGUGGGAUGAUUUUUUCCUGUAGGGUGGAGUUCAUUUCCAUGGCUUGAUUUUCACACAGGAGAUGGUGUUGUAUAAUUCUGUUGGAACUUUCUUUUCAGCACAAUUAAGAAUUAUAAUCAAGUAAAAUGUUUUCCAUUUAAUCCAACAUAUGUUAAUUUCUUUUUGAAUUUUAAUAAAGUUCCUUAUUUUUCUCAAAAUUGACUGCUGAAUAUCUGACAGCAUAAAUCAAUUGUAUUCUAAAAAAGGGAAGAGAGAACUAGAAUAUUGUACUAGAUAGAAAAGAUGCAUUAUAAACUUUCUAAGGUUAGGUAUUUUAGUAAACUAGUGUUAAAAUGAUUUUUACCUUUCGUGUUCUUCUUAAGAAACAUAUUUUCAGUAUAGCUCAACACUUACAGUCAUAAGUGUAUGUAUAGUUCUUAACUUGCAGAACUGUUUCCUAUAACCUAACACUCAUCACACUUAAACUUUUUAUUUUUUUAAUUUUUUUUCUUUUUUGAGAUGGAGUCUUGCUCUGUUGCCCAGGCAAGAGUGCAGUAGCACUAUCUUGGCUCACUACAACCUCUGCCUCACGUGUUCAAGCGAUUCUCCUGCCUCAACCUCCCUAGUAGCUGGGAUUUCAGGUGCAAGCCACCACACCCAGCUAAUUUGUGUAUUUUUAGUAGAGACGGGGUUUCACCAUGUUGGUCAGGCUGGUCUCAAACUCCUGACCUCAUGAUCCGCCUGCCUCAGCCUCCCAAAGUACUGGGAUUACAGGUGUGAGCCACCAUGCCCGGCCCAUACUUAAACUUUUAAUAACAUCACUUAGCCAGGAAUCUCCCAAGGCUACUUUAGGUUUAGAUUUAUUCCAUUGUCCAUUUCUGCUUUAGCCCCACCUAUGAAAGAAGACACAUUCACAACCAGUGGUAGAGAAACUGUGGUUUAUAUGCCCCUCUUAGAAUAACUCUUCAGGCUCUGUUUAUAGCCCUGGGUUCAUGCAUGAUAAAGUAGACAGCAACACCACCAUACAGUGCAGAGGAGUGGCAAGAGAGUAAACGGAAAAGGAGAUGAAAAUAGACCAAGUGGAGAAAGGCCUGGUCAAAAAAGGAGGAAAAGGAAGAUCACUAUGGAAUAAUAGAGAGUUGAAAAAUGAAGUGACACCCAAUAACAGGACGGGUAAGAAAAGAAGUAAGUAGGUAAGGGAGAGAUAGAUACUCUCCCUUACAAAAGUCUGGGGAAUAAGGAAAAAAGAAAACUGGCCAUAUUGCAUCUAAAUGUAAGAAAUUAAGGGUCAUUGUUAAUAGAAUUCUGCAGGAGUGUACUUCUCUCCAACUUGUCAUUUUCUUUUUUUUUUUUUUUUUUUCCCUGAGACGGAGUCUCGCUCUGUCACCCAGGCUGGAGUGCAGUGGUGCAAUCUUGGCUCACUGCAACCUUCACCUCCCGGGUUCAAGCAGUUCUCUGCCUCAGCCUCCCAAGUAGCUGGGAUUACAGUCACCUGCCACCACGCUGGCUAAUUUUUAUAUUUUUAGUAGAGACAGGGUUUUACCAUGUUGGCCAGGCUAGUCUUAAACUCCUGACCUCGUGAUCCACCCGCCUCAGCCUCCGAAAGUGCUGGGAUUACAGGCGUGAGCCGCUGCACCCGACCCAACUUGUCAUUUUCAAAGAAAUAUUUCCUCCAAAGCCUUGCUGUCCAAUUUGAGAGCCACUAGUCACCUCGUCUAAAUGUAAGAAAUUAAGUGAAAGUUGCAGUAGUGAGUAUCUUAGAUAACAUGCAGUCUGAAUGCAAGAUAACUAAUUAGCCAGCCCAGAAUCUCAAGAUUCUUUAAACCAACUGUGCCUAAUUUACAGAGUUUAUAACUCACAUGUUAAACCCUGAAAUACUUAUGGUGAUGGCUAUGUGGGAACUUUGACCUUUUGUAGUUAUCUAAAUGACCUUGUGGCUUUCAUGUUAAAUAAACAUUUUUAAAUAUUCUAUUAUGCCAAAUCUAAUUCCCAUUUAUUUUUCUUAUAUUUCCCUUGGUUUACCACUUUUUAGGGAAUCUUUGGAUUUUAACCCCUCGUCAAUAGUAGAAGCAAAGUCUGAAUUUAACCUAAACAUUAUGAUAGGCAGAAGUCAAGCAAAGACUGUUUUUACUCUUUAGUGUUAGGAUAACUAAAAGGGGUGUUUAGCCAACAAGAUGUGGUUCCUUUCAGAUUUGAAAAUAUUAUUUCCAAAUUCUAAAUUAAUGAAACAAUUUUUCAUCUUUAAUGAACAAAAGCCACAAGCCUUAUUUUAUUUCAGCCUCUAAAAUUAAAUUGAUUGUGGCUGCUGUCAAACACAGACGACUUCACUUUGGUAUCCUUGGAUGAGUGUAGUUGUGGAAUGAAAAACUAUUGGUUCAUUUCUUUAAUAUUAAUAUAAGUUUUUGCUAUUAUGUCAAAAGUACUUUCCAAUCUUAAUUUCUUAGUGUCUGGGGUCCUGGGCAUUGAUUUCCAAGUUAUUUUAUCUUAGAAUAGCUCAUAUGAGCUGAAAAACAAUUUAUUCUCUUAUUAAGCUUCUUUCUUCAGAAAAGUACCCAAUUUAGGGUCUGCAUUUUAAGAAUUAUUAACAAAUAUCUUCAUAAAAAUUUGGGAAAAGGAGUGUGGAUAGAUUUAAACAUAAAAAUAUGGAGAAUAGUUCUAACAGGGUUUGAAUUAUAGCAACAAUGGAUUGUGUAAGAAGUGAAUCUUAUUUUUAUUUUUAAAUGUUCUAAAUAGGACAAUCAGAGAUGACUUGGUUGUAGUGUGGAAACCAGUAGGGACCUUGGGAAGCUGCCAAACCCUUUCUAGCUCUGGGCUCAGCUGUAAGAACUGCUGAUUCCUACAGGAACACUUGGACAAUCCAAUACCUAAAUGUUAACCAUCAAUUAACCCAGUAAACCUGCAAGAUGGAAACGAAGAUUUGUUCUCACGAGUUUCACGUGAUUAUUUAAACACUUCUGGGGCCCAGUAGCCAACUGGGGUCUUCCCAUUGCUGCCAUCAAUGAUAUGAAAAAGUCUCCAGAGAUUAUCAGUGGGCGGAUGACAUUUGCCCUCUGUUGCUAUUCUUUGACAUUCAUGAGAUUUGCCUACAAGGUACAGCCUCGGAACUGGCUUCUGUUUGCAUGCCACGCAACAAAUGAAGUAGCCCAGCUCAUCCAGGGAGGGCGGCUUAUCAAACACGAGAUGACUAAAACGGCAUCUGCAUAACAAUGGAAAAGGAAGAACAAGGUCUUGAAGGGACAGCAUUGCCAGCUGCUGCUGAGUCACAGAUUUCAUUAUAAAUAGCCUCCCUAAGGAAAAUACACUGAAUGCUAUUUUUACUAACCAUUCUAUUUUUAUAGAAAUAGCUGAGAGUUUCUAAACCAACUCUCUGCUGCCUUACAAGUAUUAAAUAUUUUACUUCUUU
rnacentral:lncRNA from 10 species